rnacentral:rRNA from 1 species
ACAACUUUCGACAACAGAUCUCUUAGUUCUCCCAUCAAUGAAAAACGCAGCGAAACGCAAUAGGUAAUGUGAAUUGCAGAAUUCCAUGAAUCAUCGAAUCUUUGAACACACCCUGCGCUCCAUGGUAUUCCGUGGAGCAUGCCUGUUUGAGUGCCGCG